UUUUACCAGUUAAGUACUGCAGCCCCUAAUCUUUCAUUGAAGGGAACACCAUACUGGAUGGCCCCAGAGAUGGUUCAGGCUACUCUAUCUAAAGAUGUAGGCUAUGAUCUUGCUGUUGAUAUCUGGAGUCUUGGUUGCACCAUCAUUGAGAUGUUCGAUGGGAAACCUCCUUGGAGUGAUCUUGAAGGGCCAGCUGCAAUGUUUAAGGUUUUGCAUAAAGACCCAAUAAUUCCUG